UACGGAGGUCUCAAGCGUUGUUCGGAUUCAUUGGGCGUAAAGGGUGCGUAGGCGGCGGGGCAAGUCAGGUGUGAAAUCCCGGAGCUCAACUCCGGAACUGCACUUGAUACUGCCUCGCUAGAGUACUGGAGAGGAGACUGGAAUUUACGGUGUAGCAGUGAAAUGCGUAGAGAUCGUAAGGAAGACCAGUGGCGAAGGCGAGUCUCUGGACAGUUACUGACGCUGAGGCACGAAGGCCAGGGGAGCAAACGGG
rnacentral:rRNA from 1 species